CCACCAUGCCCAGACUGAUAUUUUUAGUACCCAGACAAAUCUGAGGCAACAGUUUCCUGAGGGAAGGCAGGGCACGAACAGAAGUGGGUAUCAGAGAGCAGUGAGCCUCUGUGCAUCUUAUUCCUGGAUCUGUUUCAACAUCAAGCUUCUUGUUUUGUGGAUUAAAAAAAUGUGUAUGUUACAAAGGACUUAAGGACCGAUACAACAGGUAUAAGUUACUCUGUAAGUUUUGAGGGGGAGAAGGUGUCACAUUUCUAGAUUUGUCUAAAUCACAUAAAACCUGGCUCCGGGUCUCUGCUCACCAAGGUCCCUGAGAAGCCCAAUGACAGCCACCUGACAGGUCUGCUCUGCAAUGCUGGGGAUUCCACAUACUAUAAUAAUAUAGGGAGAGAGGAGGCUGUGAGGCAUCUGUCCCCACUGAUCACACCACUCUGCUACAAAUGCAGGGGUCAGGUGCUGUUCCUUCAAUGUCCUUUCUGGCAUCUCUGCUUCCAGUGACACCGGAGACAUGCCUCACAACACAUUUUUCCCUCACUUGGAUCAGUACUGUGUCCCAAGGCCCCUCCCUUGGCCCCCUGAAGUCACUGAAUUUAGUGUCUGGGCUCUCCCUAGGCGCCGCCACACAACCUCUCCAAGAUCCUGCUGUCCUGGAGUGAUGUCUGAGAGUAGACUGCAGCUGUCAUCCCUGCUGCAGCCUGAAACCUCUGCCCUCCCCUUGCGGCAUGGGAUCCAGGCCCCUGGUAACAGAUGAGGGGGCCAAAGCCCAGAGAGGAUAAGUGACUUACUUCAAGACACACAGAUUGAGUUACAAGAGGGUGCCUCAUCCACGGCUAUUGCCAUCACACCACAGUGUCCACUGCAGUCCCAACAGCAAGAGAAAACAGCAGGCAGAGUCAGACAGGAAAGAAGUGCCGACGACAAGGGGUGACCACACAAGGGGUGACUUUUGAGAAUGCUACUGGGAUGACGGAAGGUAUCUGUGGCCCGUGAUGUGAGUUUAACACCCCAGCCCCAUCCUAAUCUUGAAUUCCUUGUCCUUCGCUUAUAUUUUCAGACCCUCAAUAUUUAAGUCUUAUUUCUAUAAAAGAUAUUUUGGUGAUGGUAGUGUGGGGUUUUGUUUAUUUAUUUAAUUUAUUUUAUAUAUAUGUGUGUGUG
rnacentral:lncRNA from 1 species